UCUACAGUACAAUUAACCCUGUACGGAUUACAAGGUUUGGAGCAAAGAUCAGCCACAGAAUUACUUAAUCAAAAUUCAUUCCUCCCCAAGCCUCGGCACACACCCCAGGCCAAGCCAUUUAUCCAGUGAGUGCUCAGACAUCAAAACCUUCACAGGGACUCAGGUUCGCUCCGGGACACCGCGUAAAAACCCAGCUGCACUCCAUAAAUCACGUGUACAAGGAGCUAGCAGAAAAGUAAACCAACGCACGGCUGAGCCAGAUGCUGCAAGUCCAUCUUUUAUUUUCCUCCCUCCCAGCCACCUGUUCCCAAAUCCUGUUUUCCUCCUGGUGUCUCCGUUCAGCAACAGCUCUAGAGAAAAGGGGGGUGUGAUGGUACGAAGCAAAUUCAGACGAGGAUCAGGAUCCACCAGCAGGUAUAUGGACCACAAACCGCUGGGUACCCACUUUUUUCCCCCCCUCUCCCCCCCUGCCCUUCUCCACUUACUUCCACCCAGCACAGCACAGAAAGCACUGGGCCAAGACACCAGGCUUGCUGCAACAAGUGGGAAAUCUGGAGAAGGAGCGAUGGGAGGUGAGACGACAAGACCACCAGUGACACCGAAGAAGCUGGUAAGGUAAAAGCAAGCACUGCUGGAAAAGCCCUUCCUUUUCGUGCAUGAUUCUGCUGCUUUCAUCCCAUCCAGGCGUUUUAAGAAUUUCUUGAAAAAAAAAAAUGCACUUCCGUUAAAACUAUCCGGACAAAGUUUGGCCAUCAUUUGAGGCCCCACAACUGUAACAACAUGGGACAAAAAGCAGCGACGAGGUCAAGUGAAGCAACUACCAGGUUACAGCAAAUUAAGGAUUCAACGUGAGUUUUAACAAAGAAAUACUUUACCAACAGGAAAAUUGAAGAAACAAAAAAAAAGAGAUGGUGUUGUGGAAAGAGCUUUUAAAAGGGAACGAUUUUUUUUCUUUCCCUUUUAAAAGGGAACAAGUGUGCAAUUUUGCAGAUAGCAUCUUACUCAGAGCAGUGGGGUAGAUUGAUCUCUAAAGACUCUUAAAAGGUUUUGCAGUGGAAAAAUAGUUGCAAGGCACAGUCAGACAAUUAACCGUGCAGCCCAGGCUGCCAGCUGCUCACUCCAAUGCUCCAGAUGGCUCCUCCUCUAAAACAUCAUCAUUUGAUCUUGGUAAUCAAAUUAUCUCCCACUCUUACAAGCCUAAGUGAGGCCGGGCUUGUAUGAAGAGAUGAUGUAUUUUAUUUGACUGACGGCUUGCAAAACCAAAACAAAUUAGCUUUCAAGGCCCUCUGUCUCUUCUGAUUGUAUCCAAGCUAACCAUCUCCAGCUCUUUAACACCUUUUUCUCUGGCAUAGGCUGCUCUUGCCACCACCUCCAACUCAAAGCACUAGCUAUAAUCUAUAAAGCUGCCUCGGGUCCAGGUUUCGUACGGUAUUUGCACACCGAACACCUCAACGUGCACCAUGUGAGUGAGGACCUGCCACUGGACAGCAGUGUUGGGAGACUCAGGGUCCAGAAGCACUUGGGGCUGGGUUAACUACACCAAAACACAACCCGUUUGUCUCACCGGGUACCCAAAACGCCGCCUGUACAUUUUCGAGGCCUUAAUACAGACUUUAGGA
ensembl:lncRNA